GAAAACCCAUUCAAAGCCCAAGUCCGCUCAAGCCUAUUGGGCCUAAGCCCAUUUAGAUAACAGUGGUACUGGACCAGAUCCCUUUUCAGAUUACAAUAAACUAGGCAUUAGCCCCUUAUUCAGAUAACAGUAUGGCCCAUAGGCCCAUUUCAAAAUACAUGCAACAUCAAUAAUAUAUGCAAACCCAUUUGGGGAGACUACUCAACCC
rnacentral:lncRNA from 1 species